rnacentral:rRNA from 1 species
GGAUACCACUUGGAAACAGGUGCUAAUACCGCAUAACCAUAGUUACCGCAUGGUAACUAUGUAAAAGGUGGCUAUGCUACCGCUUUUGGAUGGGCCCGCGGCGCAUUAGCUAGUUGGUGGGGUAAAGGCUUACCAAGGCAAUGAUGCGUAGCCGAACUGAGAGGUUGAUCGGCCACAUUGGGACUGAGACACGGCCCAAACUCCUACGGGAGGCAGCAGUAGGGAAUCUUCCACAAUGGGCGAAAGCCUGAUGGAGCAACGCCGCGUGGGUGAAGAAGGUCUUCGGAUCGUAAAACCCUGUUGUUAGAGAAGAAAGUGCGUGAGAGUAACUGUUCACGUUUCGACGGUAUCUAACCAGAAAGCCACGGCUAACUACGUGCCAGCAGCCGCGGUAAUACGUAGGCGGCAAGCGUUAUCCGGAUUUAUUGGGCGUAAAGGGAACGCAGGCGGUCUUUUAAGUCUGAUGUGAAAGCCUUCGGCUUAACCGGAGUAGUGCAUUGGAAACUGGGAGACUUGAGUGCAGAAGAGGAGAGUGGAACUCCAUGUGUAGCGGUGAAAUGCGUAGAUAUAUGGAAGAACACCAGUGGCGAAAGCGGCUCUCUGGUCUGUAACUGACGCUGAGGUUCGAAAGCGUGGGUAGCAAACAGGAUUAGAUACCCUGGUAGUCCACGCCGUAAACG